rnacentral:rRNA from 1 species
CUACGGGUGGCACCAGUGAGGAAUAUUGCACAAUGGGGGGAACCCUGAUGCAGCAACGCCGCGUGGAGGAUGACGCAUUUCGGUGUGUAAACUCCUUUUAUAUGUCAAGAAAAUGACGGUAGCAUAUGAAUAAGCACUGGCUAACUCCGUGCCAGCAGCCGCGGUAAUACGGAGGGUGCAAGCGUUACUCGGAAUCACUGGGCGUAAAGGACGCGUAGGCGGGUUGGAAAGUCAGGUGUGAAAUCCUACAGCUUAACUGUAGAACUGCACUUGAAACUUCUAAUCUAGAGUAUGGGAGGGGGAGAUGGAAUUAGUGGUGUAGGGGUAAAAUCCGUAGAUAUCACUAGGAAUACCUAAAGCGGAGGCGAUCUCCUGGAACAUUACUGACGCUAAGGCGUGAAAGCGUGGGAAGCAAACAGGAUUAGAUACCCUAGUAGUC